UACGUAGGGUGCGAGUGUUGUCCGGAAUUAUUGGGCGUAAAGAGCUCGUAGGCGGUUUGUCACGUCUGCUGUGAAAUCCCGAGGCUCAACCUCGGGCCUGCAGUGGGUACGGGCAGACUGGAGUGCGGUAGGGGAGAAUGGAAUUCCUGGUGUAGCGGUGGAAUGCGCAGAUAUCAGGAGGAACACCGAUGGCGAAGGCAGUUCUCUGGGCCGUAACUGACGCUGAGGAGCGAAAGCGUGGGGAGCGAACAGG
rnacentral:rRNA from 1 species